CGGAUCCAAAUGAUUAUAUCCUACAGCACAGCAUAGUUCAAUCCGAGAGCCAACAAAGCUCGUUGCGGAGAACCCCACCAUCUAAACGUCUUUCGCUCCUAUAUGAUGGAUUUC
rnacentral:snoRNA from 1 species